rnacentral:rRNA from 1 species
GACGAACGCUGGCGGCGUGCCUAAUACAUGCAAGUAGAACGCACAGGAUGCACCGUAGUUUACUACACCGUAUUCUGUGAGUUGCGAACGGGUGAGUAACGCGUAGGUAACCUGCCUGGUAGCGGGGGAUAACUAUUGGAAACGAUAGCUAAUACCGUAUAAGAACAUUUACUGCAUGGUAGAUGUUUAAAAGGUGCAAGAGCAUCACUACCAGAUGGACCUGCGUUGUAUUAGCUAGUUGGUGAGGUAACGGCUCACCAAGGCAACGAUACAUAGCCGACCUGAGAGGGUGAUCGGCCACACUGGGACUGAGACACGGCCCAGACUCCUACGGGAGGCAGCAGUAGGGAAUCUUCGGCAAUGGGGGGAACCCUGACCGAGCAACGCCGCGUGAGUGAAGAAGGUUUUCGGAUCGUAAAGCUCUGUUGUUAAGGAAGAACGUGUGUGAGAGUGGAAAGUUCACACAGUGACGGUACUUAACCAGAAGGGGACGGCUAACUACGUGCCAGCAGCCGCGGUAAUACGUAGGUCCCGAGCGUUGUCCGGAUUUAUUGGGCGUAAAGCGAGCGCAGGCGGUUAGAUAAGUCUGAAGUGAAAGGCAGUGGCUCAACCAUUGUAGGCUUUGGAAACUGUUUAACUUGAGUGCAGAAGGGGAGAGUGGAAUUCCAUGUGUAGCGGUGAAAUGCGUAGAUAUAUGGAGGAACACCGGUGGCGAAAGCGGCUCUCUGGUCUGUAACUGACGCUGAGGCUCGAAAGCGUGGGGAGCGAACAGG